UAAGGACUAUGAAGCAUGCGUUUUUAUUAAAUAAACGCAUGCAACGUAGACCUUAU
rnacentral:precursor_RNA from 1 species